CCUGACCGUGGUCGGUGACUUUCAGCACGAACCUCCCGUCCACCACGCAGUUCCGUGACUUAAGGCGCCCGUGGGCCACGCCUCGGUGGUGCAGAUACCUCAUUCCCUGGAAGGGGAGGUCGUGGAGGGAGCCCCGGGUACAAUGCUCGGAGACCACAGCCAGCAUGCGCUCCCCGGGGGCCAUGGUGCCACCCGCGCCGCCGCCGAGGAAGAGCCCCAGAUGCCUGUGGUUAAGUGGUGACUUAGUCUGGGGACCCUAAGUCAUUCUGCAGCUGUGACCGAGAGCUUCUGUGGAGGCAUCAGAGGAGGCCAGGCGGAGGCUGCACGAUGUAAGGGGGGCCUCGAGGUGGGACGAUCAGAAUAAGCCAGGCCACCGCCUCCUUGCCAGCUUUCCGCUUCGCCCAGUAGGCAUUAUCUGACUCUU